CCCAAUUAAUUGUGCGUAUCGGACUAAAUAUUUUAGUUUUUCAACCAUUUUUUUUUCUCAUGGUAAGUAAACUUUUACUUUCAAGCUAUAUACAGUUUAAGAAUUGCUGCAGAGAAAAUGCGCGGUUUCGACGACAUCUUGUGCAGCACAUAUGUAUACGUUACACAUAAUGCACAGUGAUUAUCGCACAAGUAAUUGCUGGUAAGGAAAGACUACAUAAUCAUACAUUUACAAACUGUUUUCAGGAUAAACACGGGAUCUAUCUCAAGAAGCCUUUGUCUAAUUCUACGAGAGUGAAAGAAGCAACAAACGCACGAUGCAAAUUUUGCAGCGGAAGUCGCAAUUGUUUAUCUCAGACGCGGUCGCCACCACGUGACGGGGAAGCCGGAGACCUGACGAGAUCAGACUCCGUGUCAUCGUCACGUCAGACUCGAAGGCUUGUGGUGGACCGAUUACGAGUGACGGGGACUCCUACCUGAAAGAUGUACAGGUGCGCCGAUUCCGACUUUUAGGAAGUCUCCGAGGUUCCGAGAUGAACAGAACGUGGGGAAAGAGCGAUGGUUUUUGCACCUUCCGAAAUUUGAUUGACAAUCGAUUCGAUAGAUCGAAUACGUGCUCGACAAUGAUCUGGGACGCACCGUUCGACGUUUACGACCAUGCGUUGUGAAAAGAUUUAAAAAAUUUAACUAUACGUACCCUCGCUCUCGAGGACGCCAACAUGUGGUUGUUCAUCACCUGCGGUAGCGCACAUAUGGUCUCAGCUUCUAUUCGUGGUCCCAUCUUUUGGCUCAAAUCACGAUUCAAAGCGAGAAUUGAGUCGAUUUCCACCUGGAAAAUAAAUAUAUGCAUUCAAAUAUUUUUAGAUUGUAUCUUUUAAUUAUUUAAUGCGCGAAUGACAUCAAUUUUUAAGUAGAAACGACAUUAUGGGGAUUGGCCAGUCAUUUGGUUUCCCCUUAGGACCAAUAAAGUUGACGCGUUACGAUACUGCGAUGCGUGAAAGUAGAGCAAAAUUAUUCGAAUGACAGAGUAACACAUUUAGAAUUUCAAAGUUCGCGAAUUAAUCUAUUUUCACGCAAAUUACCUUUCGCCGUGGAAUAAAACUUUGUUGGGACAUUUAUGUACUAAUAUAAAUCUUGCACAAUUAAUUCCGCGAUAGGAACGUAAAAUUAUGAGAAAGAAUUAAUGGAAUCUCGUAAAAAAAUCUCUGCAUUAACACAGGAUGAAUAAUUAAUGCGUUACUCUCUUGAGUUCCACCUUCAUCUAUGAGAUGUUAAACGAGAUUGCUACCGAAGUUCGCGACUGAUCGUAAAAAGAUUAUUAAGUCGUAUGAUACUUUGUUUCGAUGAGAUUGGAAACAUUCACAUUCUCGCGAGUCUAAUCCGUUGUAUCGCGCGACUUUUUGCAAAAGUCACGUUCGACCGAAUCGACUUGACUGACGGUAAAUCUGUGGACUCGCGAGCCUGUCGGAAAUAGAUUUGCGCCCCCGUUAGCGGCCUGCACGUUAGCCCCGUGGCAUUGCAUAAGCAUUGCGGAAUUGAAAAUAGCUAAAUAACCGUGACCUACGGAUGUGCGGAAUUGAAAUAUUGCUGUUCAGCGCGGCGAGAUCGCGAGGGAGAAAGUUGACCGUAAGCGCAAUUAUCUCCCAUAAACGUCAGAAAAAAUAGACUUGGACACUUCUGUCCAAGGAAACGAAACAUGCACACAGGCAACUAGAUACUUGUAUUUUUAGUAAAUUCUGCGAAAAUGAGAAAGUCGAUUAAAACAAAAUACAACUUCCGAAUUAUUUCAACACAGGUAUAUUACAUUCCGUUUAAUGUAUAAAAUUGUUAUAAAAAUGAAAGUAUGUUGCAUAAUGAAUAUAAUACUUUAUCUUUUGAUGAUGUAAAUAGUCACUCUUUUUUUACUUUUCGAAAAAGCGAAAUGUAUCAAGAAAUACUCGAGUACAAUUACAUGCU